rnacentral:rRNA from 1 species
GACGAACGCUGGCGGCGUGCUUAACACAUGCAAGUCGAACGGAAAGGCCCUGCUUUUGUGGGGUGCUCGAGUGGCGAACGGGUGAGUAACACGUGAGUAACCUGCCCUUGACUUUGGGAUAACUUCCGCCCACCCCCCCCCCCCCCCCCCCCCCCCCCCCGCCCCCCCGCCGCGCUCCCACCGCCUCGGCGGUGGGGGACGGCCCCGCGGCCUAUCCGCCUGUUGGUGGGGUAGUGGCUUACCAAGGCUUUGACGGGUAGCCGGCCUGAGAGGGUGACCGGCCACAUUGGGACUGAGAUACGGCCCAGACUGCUACGGGAGGCAGCAGUGGGGAAUAUUGCACAAUGGGCGGAAGCCUGAUGCAGCAACGCCGCGUGCGGGAUGACGGCCUUCGGGUUGUAGACCGCUUUCGCCUGUGACGAAGCGUGAGUGACGGUAAUGGGUAAAGAAGCACCGGCUAACUACGUG